AUUGAACGCUGGCGGCAGGCUUAACACAUGCAAGUCGAGCGGGGUGAUGGUGCUUGCACUAUCACUUAGCGGCGGACGGGUGAGUAAUGCUUAGGAAUCUGCCUAUUAGUGGGGGACAACAUCUCGAAAGGGAUGCUAAUACCGCAUACGUCCUACGGGAGAAAGCAGGGGAUCACUUGUGACCUUGCGCUGAUAGAUGAGCCUAAGUUGGAUUAGCUAGUUGGUGGGGUAAAGGCCUACCAAGGCGACGAUCUGUAGCGGGUCUGAGAGGAUGAUCCGCCACACUGGGACUGAGACACGGCCCAGACUCCUACGGGAGGCAGCAGUGGGGAAUAUUGGACAAUGGGGGGAACCCUGAUCCAGCCAUGCCGCGUGUGUGAAGAAGGCCUUAUGGUUGUAAAGCACUUUAAGCGAGGAGGAGGCUCUUUUGGUUAAUACCCAAGAUGAGUGGACGUUACUCGCAGAAUAAGCACCGGCUAACUCUGUGCCAGCCGCCGCAGUAA
rnacentral:rRNA from 1 species